AAUUAAUACCAACAAAUGCGGUCUAGUUUUGGAUUCUUUCCAUUAUCCAAUCAGAUGGUUAUUUCCUCUUCACAAAAUGCACUCUGAGUAUAUUUCUCCAGUGAGGAGUUUGGAUUAGACCCAGCAACUUCUCAUUUCUGUCAAGGGUCAAGGGCCUUGUUUUCGGCUAAUAGGGUAGAGUAAAGACAAAGCAUUUUUUGGCCUUAAUCUAUGUCCAAUACUUGGCACGAACUUGAGAUUUUGUCCGUAUUGUAUAUUCUUAAGAGCUACCAAACAAACGUAAAACCUUAUUUCUUGUCCUUAUUUCUUACUUUCUUAAUAUUUCUUGUCUUUUCAACUGUUUCUCUUUGCAUUCUUAAUAUUUGUAGCUACACGAGCAUGGAUGCAGCUGUAAACAUUUAAACGAUCUUUUCCAUUAAAAUAUGCAGUCCUGUAGAAGUUUGUGCACUCAAUCUAAUGGUGUAGCUGAAAUUUCUGGUCUUUGAUUCAAGUGUACACAAUUUACUUGGAGGAUCCUGCAACUAUGAACCCGAACUCAGGAGCGGUCUCAAAUACGGGAUAUCAUUCCAUACUCUCCCUUAUAUUAUCCAUUCUAGUAAAGCACCAAUUGCAGUGCACUUCAAAAAUGGUGUUAUGAGUUUAUAGGAUCACAUUUAAUAAGCUUGAACCUUGUAAUGAAAGAGACAAUAUAUCUUUUAUCAAA